UCGUGGAGUGAUCUGUCUGCUUAAUUGCGUUUCAUCAACGAUUUCAAUAAAUGAGUGGAGUGACGGACCGUCUUCGGACGCUUGUUCUCACAAAGCUCAAUGAAAUCUGAAGGCAACGAACGUGACCGCAGCCUCUUGUUGCCUCUCUUCUAUCUUUUUGGAUAGACUACUGCCUUUAGAUAGGUUAUUUUUUACUUGUCUAAAGGACCUUUAGAGUGGAGCUGCAAA
rnacentral:rRNA from 1 species